rnacentral:lncRNA from 1 species
GAAGUGGUUGAGUUGUUGAAUUGGCUCACAGUUCUAUAGGCUAUAGAGGAAACAUAGCAGCAUCUCCUUCUGUGGAGGCUCAGAAAGCUUCCCAAAGUGGCAGAAGACUAAAGGGAGCAGGCACUUCACAUGGCAACAGCAGGAGAGGAGGACAGAGAGAGAGAGAGAGAGUUGGAGGGUGGGGGGUGCCACACACUUUUAAAUGACAAGAUUUCACAAAAUAUUUUCCUAAGACCCAAUGGAAACUUCCUCCUUCCUUUAUUUCAGCUGAGAAACUAACGUCAUCCUUUCAGAAGAGAAAGGGAAGAGGUCAACUUUGGUUUGAACCCUCUCCCAAAGAAGCAGAAAAUUGCAAACUUUUGCAACAAGACAAUUUUAGUCUGUUGAAAAUAGACUACAGAACCCAUAAAGACCAAUAGGAGCAUUUAAAAUCAUGCCUUAUCUCAAAGUGAAAGUGACCGUAGUCCACCUUAGGGCCAGAGUUUUACAAUUCUAUUGCUUGUUAACCUUCUUAACAUCUGUGACAGCCAAGUGUCUCAUCCGAUUACUAGUCUGCAUUUUCUUAGUGCACAGCUGUCCCUGCAACUAUGUGUUGAACAUACCUACAUUUCUUCUCCAACAAUAAGAGAGGCAAGUGAAAGAAGACCAUGAAGAUGCAGGAAAUGCAUUCUUCUCUACCCCGAGCAAGAAAUAAUCUGUCAAUUGAAGAUUCAUAAUGUAUCAAAAACAUACUUCAGGAAAUCACAAAGAAAAAUUCAAGACUGGGAUUUUUGUUUUUGUCUUUUUAAGUUCAAGCCACAGAAAGUAUUUGGAAGAAUUAGAAAAUGCUUUCAGUGGGGAAUUCCACAGGAACUGGAAAAUCUCAGGCAAAAUUAGAACCAAAGAAAACAGAAAUAGUAGAAAUCUCGAAGAUCAUCAAAUUCAACCCUGCUACUUUGCCAUUGAUUAAAAAC